rnacentral:rRNA from 1 species
AUUGAACGCUGGCGGCAUGCCUUACACAUGCAAGUCGAACGGUAACAGGUCUUCGGAUGCUGACGAGUGGCGAACGGGUGAGUAAUACAUCGGAACGUGCCUAGUAGUGGGGGAUAACUACUCGAAAGAGUGGCUAAUACCGCAUGAGAUCUACGGAUGAAAGCAGGGGAUGGCAAGACCUUGUGCUACUAGAGCGGCCGAUGGCAGAUUAGGUAGUUGGUGGGAUAAAAGCUUACCAAGCCGACGAUCUGUAGCUGGUCUGAGAGGACGAUCAGCCACACUGGGACUGAGACACGGCCCAGACUCCUACGGGAGGCAGCAGUGGGGAAUUUUGGACAAUGGGCGGAAGCCUGAUCCAGCAAUGCCGCGUGCAGGAUGAAGGCCUUCGGGUUGUAAACUGCUUUUGUACGGAACGAAAAGCCCCGGGUUAAUACCCUGGGGUCAUGACGGUACCGUAAGAAUAAGCACCGGCUAACUACGUGCCAGCCGCCGCAGUAA